AGCAAACUCAUCUCCAAUAACAUUCAUCCUAUGUUACAUUCAUGUCUUGCAAUGCAUAAAACUUGAUAAGCAUUCCCAUUCGGUAGUACUUAAUAGCGUCAAAAAACAUAACAAAGGUAAAAACUUGCACAAUCAACUGAAGAAGUGUAUAUACAUCAGAUUUCCCCCCUAUACCCCCCAGAACCAAAAUAAUCCCUUCUCGAGUUAGCAAGUUGCUGAGAUCUCUGAUGCUCCAACUUGGGACAAUCUCGAAUACGGUGACCUAGCCCACCACAGUAAGCACAGCCCUUAACUCCACUUGCACUAGUAAUUGUGUCACCAUCUUCCAUUGGAUCAUUCAACUCUGCCAGAACAGGAGGGAUCCUCUGUUUUGCUUCUUGCAAUAGGUGCUUCAAGUCGAGCAAUGUUGUCUCACUCUGGUUUUUGUUUAUAAACGUUGUUGCAAUUCCAGUCUUACCACACCUUCCUGUUCGUCCAAUCCUAUGAACAUAAUUUUCAAUUUCUGCAGGCAUAUCAUAGUUUAUUACAUGUUGGAUAUCUGGAAAAUCCAAACCCUUUGAGGCAACAUCAGUUGCAACCAAGACAUCUUUCUUGCCUGCUUUGAAGGAUGAAAUUGCAUAUUCUCUUUCUUCUUGGUCUUUGCCUCCAUGAAUAGCAACAGCCUCAACACCCUUAAGGAGGAGAUAUUCAUGAAUGUCAUCCACAUCAGCCUUGUUCUCACAAAAUAUUAAAACAGGAGGCGGUGUUUUCUGUAAGCACUCAAGAAGGUAAACAAUCUUUGCCUCCUGUUUUACAUACUCAACCUCCUGGAUCACAUCAAGGUUUGCUGCUCCCGCU
rnacentral:misc_RNA from 1 species